rnacentral:rRNA from 1 species
GAUGAACGCUGGCGGCGUGCCUAAUACAUGCAAGUCGAGCGAAUGGAUUAAGAGCUUGCUCUUAUGAAGUUAGCGGCGGACGGGUGAGUAGCACGUGGGUAACCUGCCCAUAAGACUGGGAUAACUCCGGGAAACCGGGGCUAAUACCGGAUAACAUUUUGAACCGCAUGGUUCGAAAUUGAAAGGCGGCUUCGGCUGUCACUUAUGGAUGGACCCGCGUCGCAUUAGCUAGUUGGUGAGGUAACGGCUCACCAAGGCAACGAUGCGGAGCCGACCUGGGAGGGUGAUCGGCCACCCUGGGACUGAGACACGGCCCAGACUCCUACGGGAGGCAGCAGUAGGGAAUCUUCCGCAAUGGACGAAAGUCUGACGGAGCAACGCCGCGUGAGUGAUGAAGGCUUUCGGGUCGUAAAACUCUGUUGUUAGGGAAGAACAAGUGCUAGUUGAAUAAGCUGGCACCUUGACGGUACCUAACCAGAAAGCCACGGCUAACUACGUGCCAGCCGCCGCGGUAA